CUAAAAUUUUUCUAAAAAACUAUGCCCUAAAAGAUUUCGCCAAAACCUAUCUUCCAAAUUUUACCCACACUAAAAGAAUCUCCUCGUUCUCCUUCCCUAAAAUUCCAUAAGCAAAGUUGGGGCUCUUCUCUUAUCUUUUAGCAGAUCGAGUAAAGCAGAGUAGUGUGGGUUAAAAUACUUCUGAUCUCAUACUGCAGUAUUGGAAAUCCUCAAUCCUUGGGUCAGCAACCUAUUACAUUCUUUAUGGAGGUCCUUGCAUUAUGUGACCAUUCAGUUAUUUUGGACAAAAGUGUAACACAAGGUCUGUUUAGGUAUGAAAUUUGUCUAUUAACCUCCUUGCACCUUGUAGCACAAUGAAACAAUUCAUGUGCCUUAGUUUCUAGAGAUGUCUGAAGAAGUGGAAUUAACAUGUCUAAUUUUCAUAAACCAAAUGUUUUUCCUGUAUUUUUCAAACAUGGCACAGUUAAAUCUCCUGCUACCGAUGGAAGCUUUUGUCCUUGCUAUUGUAUAGUAAAUAAUUUGCAUCCGAAUAUUAAUGAUAUUAUUCUUUUUAGUAUUUUGAAGUCAAAGUCCAACUUAUAAAACCAAGUGAUGUGAUUGUUAUUGUAAUUGAUGCACGUUAGCAAAAGUGAACUAUGAGAGUGGUGGCUUGAUGCUAUUUCAUGUCAUCUUGACAUAUCAAGUAAUGUUUUUGAGGUCUGAAAAAAGUGAAAUGUAUUACUUUAAGCUAAAAGAUCAAUAGAAUGUGGAAUGUUGUGAUGAUUGAGAAGCUCCGAGGUAAUAUAUUUGAUCGUGAACACUUUGAGAUAAUUGAUGAGUCUGUUUUAUUUGCACCUACUGCCUGUGGGUAUUGUUUCAGUUUAGCUUCAAACUGUAUACUAUGGGUGUUUAUCGGGCGGGCUUGGACGGGCUGAACGGUAAAAAUCUCAGCCCGUUCGGUUAGCGGGCGGGCUGUUAGCGGGCUGGGGAUAACGGGCUCUUAGUGGGCUGUGU